GUUACUGUGGUUGUGUGUUCAGUUCACUGGACUCUUGGUGUCAUGAUCCAGGUGAGUCUGAGUAACUUUCCACAGCAUCAGCUCUCCUCCCCUGGGUGGAGCCCUCCUCGCUCCUCACCUGUUGCCAAUUACUCCGGCAGUAUUUAUGAGCAGCACUCACAAUGAACCUUCUCCAGACUGUCUGCUUACCACAGUGAGUUCUCUGCAUCACAUUUUGUCUUGUGCUGCUCAGCAUGUUUCGCGUAACCCUCUAUUCCUGUUCCCUAGUCAGCACCUGGAUAUAUCUUCAACUCACGCCAUAAGUCACGCCUCAGGAUUCUGGCCUGCCACUGCUGAUUUAAUUCAUCUCCUCCUCCAGCUAAUCUCCACCUGCAGCCACUGUUCCUGGAUAGUUUCCUGCCCCUGUUGUUCCUUUGACCUGCCUCAGCUUAUGUUCUGGCCUCAGCUCUGCACUUCUCAUAAUACCUUGAUCGCUGUUGAAUUUAGCUGCGAUUCAGCUUCCUUGUCAAGAAAUCUAGUUAAGUAAAUUUCUGUUUAAAGUCACUCAGCUUCCGGUUCUUGGUUUUGUGCUUGAGUCCAAUCCCUGACACUUGGGUUAUA